AAUGCCAGGUUUGAGGAAACAAAAUGCAACGUAAAGGAAGGACCUGCUGCAGGGAAGAGAUAUGAAAACUGAAGCUAAAUUGUGGAGAAAAGACUCAAGCCCCCCCAUGUCUGUCUGAAUCUGUGACAUUCUGCUGUCAGGAGACCUUGAGGCACAUCACCAUCCCUGGGGUGUGAUGCUGGAUUCCUGGUCAGACGAGCACACACUUCUCCCUCUCCCUAGAGGUUCAUCUCUGUAAGACCAGGUAUUGUUCUACCGUGGCAAGUCUUCAAAACCCCCCUCAACUGCAGGUCCUUUUCUAUUUUUCUCCUCUCUGGUUGCUAAAUUAAUACCAAGCUCACAGGCACAGAUUAUCUUUGCCUAAAGG